rnacentral:lncRNA from 1 species
CAUCAAUGUGCAUACAUGUAUAUGUACUUGCAACUGGACAUUUAACAAUCAACAAUUAACCAAUCAUCAACGAUCAUAUGAGGUAUUGUUUCAUAUUUUCAUAUUGCGGGAAUAUGAACGACGCUAUAUAUAGUCUUGACGUCACAUAAAAAUUAUGACGUCUUAAAUUUAGAUUCAAAGGUCAAAAAAAGUAAACGGCAUGUUCACGGUACCAUGAUGUGUGUCUUCAUAAUAUAGAUGUCUCGAUCAGGUUAGUUAGUUAAUACUUUGAGUUAAUUUAAAACUGCUACCCUAUUGCAAUGAAUACACUUUUUAGGAAUAGAGAGUCACAGAUAUGUUAAAAUUCAACUUACAUUAAAAAAAUCAUUAAUUGGAAGUGUCUAAUUGUCCAAUCUGGCAACCCAUUGGUAAGGCAUCCUAGUUCUCUGCCAAGUUGGGAAACCAUGUUUCCGAUAAAAAAAAAUGUUUUAGUCAAUCUGUAUUCUUUUUUAGUGAUCGCAUAGCCCUGGUACUUUGCCCGAUAUGCGCUAUGAAACUACAGUGGUGACUCUCUUUUGUAAACUAGUUAAAAAAACUAGGUGUUUAUGCAGUUGCAUCAAAACCUUAUAUAUAUUUUAAGAGAUAA